GACGAACGCUGGCGGCGUGCUUAACACAUGCAAGUCGAGCGGAGCGGCGAACGGGUGAGUAACGCGUGAGUAACUGCCCCCCUCCCUGGGAUAACAGUUGGAAACGGCUGCUAAUACCGGAUAGUGGGGGAUGACUCGCGUCCUCUCGGCUUGUCGGUGGGGUAGUGGCAUACCACGGCGACGACGGGUAGCCGGCCUGAGAGGGCGACCGGCCACAUUGGGCUGAGGUACGGACCAGACGCCUACUGGAGGCAGCAGUGGGGAAUAUUGCACAAUGGGGGAAACCCUGUUGCAGCGACGCCGGGUGCGGAAUGACGGCCUUCGGGUUGUAAACCGCUUUCAGCCAAGACGCGGUAGUGGCAGAAGAAGCACCGGCUAACUACGUGCCAGCAGCCGCGGUAAUAC
rnacentral:rRNA from 1 species